UUAAAUUGAAGAGUUUGAUCAUGGCUCAGAUUGAACGCUGGCGGCAGGCCUAACACAUGCAAGUCGAACGGUAACAGGAAGCAGCUUGCUGUUUUGCUGACGAGUGGCGGACGG
rnacentral:rRNA from 1 species